AUUUACACUGUGGAAACUGGCAAAUGCCACACAUCAGGGCUUCACAUUUCUUCUGAGUCUCAAAAAUGCCAUGGAGAGGGAAAACAAUGUGUGGAAUCAGAAGUGGAGACUCGAGGCAGAAGCAAGGGCGGAGGAUCGAAAACGGCCCCUUGUGAUCUGCAGCUCCUAUCUCAGCCAGGAUCGGCUCCAAACAGGCCUCGGUUGCAGAGAAGACGCAGUCGGAGGCCAGCUUCCUUGUUAAUCAGACACGAAGCUGCUGUGUGCGCAGCCCUGAGGUCCAGGCUGCUGAAGGCGCUGAUAGCUGAGGCAGAAGCACGGGAGAGCCUGAUAACGGGGCCUCUGGCGGGCCGUUCUCGUGCUUCUGGCUGCCAGAGAAGGGAGACUGGAGGGCUUGCCUACACUACACGACAACAGAGUCCUAGGGAACUUUCUCAGUCGGUAUUUCGAAAUAAGCACUGGAGGCAGCCUGUCAGGCUGCCGUUCCCAUUGUUUUGACCAAGACGUUUUUUCUCCCCCAAAUGCGAAAGCUGGCGCUGUAGGAACCCACCCCUGGCCCUUUAUACAAACAAACCCUGGGCUGCGAGCUACAGCCGGAAGCAAGAGACCUGCUCCCGCUGAAGGUGCUGACAGCUCACCUCAAGGCUCCCUUCCAGCAGGCAGACGGGGAGCGAGGCUGCUGGGACUCCCGCCACUGGAUACAGGGUUUUUCAACGCCUGUGCUCCUUAAGCUGGGUCCUGCUCCCCAGUCUCCGGGCCAUCCCCCUGAGAUGAAAAGGUUGGGCCAGAGGGUGUUCAAACCCUCCUGCUGCUACCACUGCCUCUGAUCCCAUGACCUUUAGCUGUCAGGACUAUGAAGACCAGCAAAGGACUGGAAAAGCCAAAAGACUGGAAAAUCCCCAGAUAGUUCUUCACCUUGGAAUAUCAGUACUUGAUUUGGAACUCGCAUAUGCAAUUUCAUGAAAUCACACAAUAAAGAUCUGACA
ensembl:lncRNA